GAUGAACGCUAGCGGGAGGCUUAAUACAUGCAAGUCGAGCGGUAAUUUAGGAAUAGCAAUAUUUCUGAGCUAGAGCGGCGCACGGGUGAGUAACGCGUACACGACCUGCCCUUUACUGGGGGAUAGCCUUGGGAAACUGAGAUUAAUACCCCACUGGUAUUAUUAUGCUGCAUGGUAUAAUAAUUAAAGACUGAGGCGGUAAAGGAUGGGUGUGCGUCUGAUUAGCUAGUUGGUAGGGUAACGGCCUACCAAGGCGAUGAUCAGUAGGGGGCGGUGAGAGCGUGACCCCCCACACGGGUACUGAGACACGGACCCGACUCCUACGGGAGGCAGCAGUAAGGAAUAUUGGUCAAUGGAGGGAACUCUGAACCAGCCAUCCGCGUGCAGGAUGAAGGGGCGUCUGCCCUGUAAACU
rnacentral:rRNA from 1 species